UCUUUCUCCCCCGCAGGGAGGAGGCGCCGGGGGGGCAGCACAAGGAUGCAGGACGCCCGACCCCGCAGGUGCCCCCAGAUACCCAAGACCCCGCCCCCCAGGGGGGCCACCCAGUGCUGACGGGGUCCGGAGCCAACAUGGGGUCUGUGUCAGACCAGGACACCCCCAACCCCCUCUGGUCACGGCCGGGGGCUGUGAGCCUGGAGCCUAGAUCUGGGGAGCUGACAGCCCCAGGGGGACGGGCACCACCCCCCAGCCCCUCCCUCAGCCGGGAGCCCGGCCCCCCAGCUCUGCCCCCGGCCAGCGAGGAGGGGUGGGGAGGGGGGCGCAGCAGCUGGCAGGGGGCCCCGA